GGAAGGUAGCCGGAUAAGGCUUGCCGGACCUGUUUGCUAAACAGUGUUCCCUUGAGGAGUGAGGGUUCGAAUCCCUUGCCUUCCG
rnacentral:tRNA from 1 species